AGCAGCCGCGGUAAUUCCAGCUCCAAUAGCGUAUAUUAAAGUUGUUGCAGUUAAAAAGCUCGUAGUUGAAUUUCGGGGUUCAUACAUUGGUCGGGCUUUUUGGUCUGUACUUAUGUAAUGGAUUCCUACCUUCUGAAUAACCGGCAUGCCAUUAAUUUGGUGCGCCGGGGAAGCAGGACUGUUACCUUGAAAAAAUUAGAGUGCUUAAAGCAGGCUAUCGCCUGAAUACAUUAGCAUGGAAUAAUGAAAUAGGACGGCAUGGUUCUAUUUUGUUGGUUUCUAGGAUCACCGUAAUGAUUAAUAGGGAUAGUUGGGGGCAUUAGUAUUCAAUUGUCAGAGGUGAAAUUCUUGGAUUUAUUGAAGACUAACUUCUGCGAAAGCAUUUGCCAAGGAUGUUUUCAUUA
rnacentral:rRNA from 1 species